rnacentral:rRNA from 1 species
CCUACGGGAGGCAGCAGUGGGGGAUAUUGCACAAUGGGGGAAACCCUGAUGCAGCGACGCCGCGUGUGGGAAGACGGUCCUCUGGAUUGUAAACCACUGUCCCCAGGGACUAAGAUGACGGUACCUGGGGUGUUAGCUCCGGCAAACUACGUACCAGCAGCCUCGGUACUACGUAGGGGCCGCGCGUUGUCCGGAAGUACGGGGUGAAACGGGAGCGUAGGCGGGGAUGAAGGUAGAGUGUAAAGACUACCGUCUAAACUGGUAGUCGCACUCGAAACUGGAGGGCUUGAGUGAAGUUGAGGCAGGCGGAAUGCGUGGUGUAGCGGUGAAAUGCGUAGAUAUUAGGAGGAACACCAGUGGCGAAGGCGGCCUGCUGGGCUUUUACUGACGCUGAGGCUCGAAAGUGUGGGGAGCAAACAGGAUUAGAUACCCUUGUAGUC